UCCCAAAACUCUAACAGAAUCGAUUGUGU
rnacentral:piRNA from 1 species